CACGUAGGGCGCAAGCGUUGUCCGGAAUUAUUGGGCGUAAAGAGCUCGUAGGCGGUCUGUUGCGUCCGCUGUGAAAACUCGGGGCUUAACCCCGAGCCUGCAGUGGAUACGGGCAGACUAGAGUUCGGUAGGGGAGUCUGGAAUUCCUGGUGUAGCGGUGAAAUGCGCAGAUAUCAGGAGGAACACCGGUGGCGAAGGCGGGACUCUGGGCCGAUACUGACGCUGAGGAGCGAAAGCGUGGGGAGCGAACAGG
rnacentral:rRNA from 1 species